rnacentral:lncRNA from 13 species
GUUGUCUUCAGGAAAAUUUUAUUUGCUUCCUGCUAGGCCCCAGUCUAAAUGUGAUUACACUUGGGAUCCAAGUAGUUAUCGCCCUUAACCAGAAGACAGGAAAUGAGUCAUUCAACAGUAAUGAGUCCAAGAGCUGAUGUUCCAAACUCCAGAAGGGACUCACUCGCAACAAUUCCAAGAAAAUAAGGCACAUGACGUCAAACACUGGAUAAUCCAUAGUAUGUGAGAUGCUCACCCACGGAAGAAAGAGUACAUGAAGACCCAGUGAGAAUGUGACAAUCUACAAGCCAAGGAGAGAAGCCUCAGAAAAAAAUAACCCUGCCCACACCUUGAUAUUGAACUUCUUAGCCCCUUGGACUGUGAGAAAAUCAAUUUUUGUUGUUUAAGCUAUCUGGUCUUUGUUAUUUUGAGAUAGAAGCCUUAGCAAACUAAUGCAGAUGUUU